rnacentral:tRNA from 1 species
GAGGGUAUAAUUCAGUGGUAAAAUUCCUGCUUAGCAUGCACAAGUCCUGGGUCCAAUCCCCAGUACCUCCA